rnacentral:snoRNA from 1 species
GUGUUCUCUUAAGGUUGACACAAUGCCUUAAGAGGCUAACACAAAAGGGUAAGGAAAAUCUCCAUAAAACCCAGAAAAGAGCUUUAAAACUCCUCUCUAGAUCUAUCUGCAGUCAUAGCU